ACCAUCUGCUGAAGGAAAUAUAUGGAUUUUUAGCUGCUAAUUUUGUCUUUUUUCUAUUUGAAGCUGAGCAGGAGGGUUUUUAAAAACUUUUUGCGUCAAUUCUUGGAAAGCAAUUAGAGUAAAUCUGAAACAGUUAAGUUGAGGAAUGAAAAAUCAAAAUGAGGAGCUCAACGACUAAACGGAGCUGAAGAGAAGUGCAGAAUUAAGCGAUAAUUAUAUGUUUCAGAUCGUCCCUUAUAAAUUAAUUAAUAUUUAUUACAGCAGCUUUUAGAAGCCGAGUAUCAGCAUGAUAAAAGCAAAAUCUACAAGGCGAGCGGGGAAGACGGAUUGCUAUGAAUAAACGGUAAAGGCCAGGUGAUGAGGAAGAAAGGCCCAAAUAUGGAUGGAAAUAACAAAACAAGGGAAAGGUGUGUGAAAAAGUACGACCCAAAGCAGAAUCGAGGGAUCCGGAGGCUGAAAAUCCAACAGCGAGGCAAGCCAUGUCGCAAAGUACAUCUGGAGAUAUUUUUAUAUGUGGAUAGCUUUGUCUCCUAACCGAGAGCCACUCUCCAAUUAAGCUGCAAAUUGCUAAUUAGCAGAACGUAGAAAACGAACACUUUAUGUAAAUCAGGCACUGACUCAGCCUGCUUGACAAAUGAGGCCUUUCUGCAUAAAUCAAAAUUGGAGAGAAGAUCCCCAAAUUGAGGGGAAAACAGUUUUUUCACUUUUUCUUUUUUUUUUCUUUUUUGGAGAGGUUCAAAGCCGACUCUGGUAUAAGCCUCUUUCAUGUUUCCUCAAGUCAAAUCCUUCUGUAUUUUACUGGAGGGGGGGAGGAGAGUGAAGAUGAAAAAGAGAGCAACUGUUUCUUUCUCUUUUUCCCCUCUCCCGCCCUCCCUCUGUCUGGAGACGAGAGUAGCUAUGGUGUUCGUGUCCUUUAACCUAGCCUGAGGAGAAACCCAGGAGAAGUUGAGAUACUUCUUUUAAAAAUAGGGUGAAGAGUGAGAGGAGGAAAAAAAAAAAAA